UCCGAGUUGACCCCGGCAGUCUCCUACGAGUCCCCGGCAUUACCCGCUGGCAACAUAGGACGAGGGUUGCGCUCGUUGCGGGACUUAACCCAACAUCUCACGACACGAGCUGACGACAGCCAUGCAGCACCUGUGCAUCGGCCCCGAAGGGAAGACAGCUUUCACUGCCGAUCCAAUACAUGUCAAACCCAGGUAAGGUUCUUCGCAUUGCGUCGAAUUAAACCACAUGCUCCACCGCUUGUGCGGGCCCCCGUCAAUUCGUUUGAGUUUCAGCCUUGCGGCCGUACUCCCCAGGCGGGGUGCUUAAUGCGUUAGCUUCGGCACGGAGCGGGUCGAACGCCGCCCCACACCUAGCACCCAACGUUUACGGCUAGGACUAC
rnacentral:misc_RNA from 1 species